GAUGAACGCUGGCGGCGUGCUUAACACAUGCAAGUCGAGCGAGUGAGUUCUUCGGAACGAUCUAGCGGCGGACGGGUGAGUAACACGUGGGCAACCUGCCUCAUAGAGGGGAAUAGCCUCCCGAAAGGGAGAUUAAUACCGCAUAAUAUCGUUGAAGGGCAUCCUUCGAUGAUCAAAGGAGUAAUCCGCUAUGAGAUGGGCCCGCGGCGCAUUAGCUAGUUGGUGAGGUAACGGCUCACCAAGGCGACGAUGCGUAGCCGACCUGAGAGGGUGAUCGGCCACAUUGGGACUGAGACACGGCCCAGACUCCUACGGGAGGCAGCAGUGGGGAAUAUUGCACAAUGGGGGAAACCCUGAUGCAGCAACGCCGCGUGAGUGAUGACGGCCUUCGGGUUGUAAAGCUCUGUCUUUGGGGACGAUAAUGACGGUACCCAAGGAGGAAGUCACGGCUAACUACGUGCCAGCCGCCGCCGUAACAC
rnacentral:rRNA from 1 species